CAAGUCUGGUGCCAGCAGCCGCGGUAAUUCCAGCUCCAAUAGCGUAUAUUAAAGUGUUGCAGUUAAAAGCUCGUAGUUGAAUUUCGAGAUCGGCUUACUGGUCGUGUCUUUGUACGUACUGGUAUAAUCGGUUUCUCCUUUCUGACGAACUUUAAUGCCAUUAAUUUGGUGUUUUAGGGAAUCAGGACUGUUACUUUGAAAAAAUUAGAGUGUUUAAAGCAGGCUCACGCUUGAAUACAUUAGCAUGGAAUAACGGAAUAGGACGUUUGAUUCUAUUUUGUUGGUUUCUAGGAUCGACGUAAUGAUUAAUAGGGAUAGUUGGGGGCAUUAGUAUUCAAUUGUCAGAGGUGAAAUUCUUGGAUUUAUUGAAGACUAAACUACUGCGAAAGCAUUUGCCAAGGAUGUUUUCAUUAAUCAAGAACGAAAGUUAGGGGGAUCGAAGACGAUCAGAUACCGUCGUAGUCUUAACCAUAAACUAUGCCGACUAGGGAUCGGAUGAUGUUAAUUUUUUAAUGACUCAUUCGGCGCCUUACG
rnacentral:rRNA from 1 species